CAGUUCACAAGUGCCUUGCUCAUCGCUCUUCGGGAAUAAUUUUUACUAAUUCAAAAAAAGGUUUAAAAUUAACCGCAGGGGGACAGAACACGACAUCUAGUUGUUGCCGAUUAAGGUUUAUCACCGGAGUGCGCCCACUGUUUAUUUCGUAAAAGAUUCAGAUUGCCAAGAUGCACAAGUCCUAUUACUGUUCUUUUGAUGCGUGAAACCUGCAUUCCUUGUGUGCCCAUGUUUAAUCGUUACCCACCACUGACUGCUAGUGACCUGCCUAGUUAUGCCAAAAUGGAAGUUGAUUGUGGCCUCUGCUUCCCUGGUUAUCAACCAGAAAACUUAACAGGCCAAAGAUACUUCAUUAAGUGUUACCCUGUAACCACCCGGAUGUUUUGUUUGCAACAAACAUUCAUAGCGAUUUUGAUUACUUCCCAACAUCGGUUGGUCAGCUGGCAUCAACAUGUUCAUCUCGGUUACGGUCGUUGGACGUGACUCUUGGACACCCGAAGGUUGCUGCUUUCGAGCCACAAAUUUCUUUUUCAUACCUACAAACAUCUGUCUUCAGUUUCUGAGUUGAAAUUUAAACGAGCGAGCAACAUACAUAUGACGAAGAUGACUACUAUCACCAAGAUUAACAGUCCCGCCGUUGUCCAAAAUAAUGCGGCUAAAACUGGAUCAUCUAUUUCAGGCAAUAACUGUUCGACAACAAAAGUUUAAAAUGUUGUCUUAUCAAAUCAAAACUCAAUAUACUUUGUUUUGCAGUACCUGACGGAAAUCGACCGAAAGGUCUUUUGCGAUGGACCGUAAGAAACUAUUUACAACGUUGAUGUUGCUCUUCAUGUUGAAAUAUUUUUUCAGCCUAUAUAUAACACAAUGAAAACAACUUUCAUAAAAUGCCAAAGACUAAAAGUAUCUGCUAACUACAUUGCGUCGAAUAAAGUUAAUGUAUGUUGCCGAUUAGUGCAUUUAACUUUCCAUCUAACAAAAUUAUGAAGAAUGAAA